rnacentral:lncRNA from 1 species
UUAAUUUCUCUUACCAGUAUGACUUCUUUGAUUGCAGAUUGGGAAGAGAUGGACAUAAUCAGCUUUCACAAAUUGGUGCAAGUUAACUCCAUCACACUACUGGUCUGUCAAGAAUUUGUUCAUCUACUACUUUGCUUUAUGCUUCAUCCAGGACCACUUUGGGGGAUUUUUUUAAAUGGAUCCAUGAACUUUCAAAGGGAGCUCUCAUGAAUGGAAGUCAGUAAACUGGGAUUCAGAGGUCACAUCUGGCUCUCCAUCUGGUUUUGUAAAAUGGACUUUAUUCCUAAACAGGUAUGCUCACACAUUUA